rnacentral:rRNA from 1 species
CUUUCAACAACGGAUCUCUUGGUUCUGGCAUCGAUGAAGAACGCAGCGAAAUGCGAUACGUAGUGUGAAUUGCAGAAUUCAGUGAAUCAUCGAAUCUUUGAACGCACAUUGCGCCCUUUGGUAUUCCAAAGGGCAUGCCUGUUCGAGCGUCAUUUGUA